rnacentral:rRNA from 1 species
AACCUCCGCAAUGUGAGAAAUCGCGACGGGGGGAUCCCAAGUGCCAUUCUUAACGGGAUGGCUUUUCAUUAGUGUAAAGAGCUUUUGGAAUAAGGGCUGGGCAAGACCGGUGCCCGCCGCCGCAGUAACACCGGCAGCUCUAGUGGUAGCAGUUUUUAUUGGGCCUAAAGCGUCCGUAGCCGGUUUAAUAAGUCUCUGGUGAAAUCCUGUAGCUUAACUGUGGGAAUUGCUGGAGAUACUAUUAGACUUGAGACCGGGAGAGGUUAGAGGUACUCCCAGGGUAGAGGUGAAAUUCUGUAAUCCUGGGAGGACCGCCUGUUGCGAAGGCGUCUAACUGGAACGGUUCUGACGGUGAGGGACGAAAGUUAGGGGCGCGAACCGGAUUAGAUACCCGGGUAGUCCUAACUGUAAACGAUGCGGACUUGGUGUUGGGGUGGCUUUGAGCUGCUCCAGUGCCGAAGGGAAGCUGUUAAGUCCGCCGCCUGGGAAGUACGGUCGCAAGACUGAAACUUAAAGGAAUU